GACGUAGGGGGCGAGCGUUGUCCGGAUUUACUGGGCGUAAAGCGUGCGUAGACGGCUAUCUAAGUCGGGUGUGAAAGCCCCGGGCUCAACCUGGGAAUUGCAUUCGAGACUGAAUAGCUAGGGUACGGUAGAGGGAAGUGGAAUUUCCGGUGUAGCGGUGAAAUGCGUAGAUAUCGGAAGGAACAUCAGUGGCGAAAGCGACUUCCUGGACCAGUACCGACGUUCAGGCACGAAAGCGUGGGGAGCAAACAGG
rnacentral:rRNA from 1 species